rnacentral:misc_RNA from 1 species
UGAAGGAGAUCAGGGCUUUGUUUUUGAACUUUUCGUACCGUGGACGGAUUGCGAAGGAUGCUGAGGAGAGGCAGAGGUUUACUGAGAAGAUCAUUGUUCUGCUACUCACUGUUGAUUCGAUUGAGGGAUCUGACUACAUGGUUCGAGCUGCAAAGAAGUCAAUGGUCGAGGAACUAGAGGUGAUGCUCCAGGUGGUAGACCCACAACCUUCUGGGAAGCUGGUAUCGUUCAGGCGGAGGAAGUUUGAUCUCCCCGAAGGCGGGCCUAUCUCAAAAGAAAUGUCAGCGGGUGUGACUGAGGUUGUCGAGAUGCUUGAAGAAGAAGACGGCUAGGAGCAUCUCAAGGCGCUUGGUAGUCCCGAGCUUAGGACUGACUGUUAAGGUAUGUCUUGUUUUCGCUUGGUAGUCCCGAGCUUAGGACUGACUGUUAAGGUAUGUCUUGUUUU